GGUUCCUUAGUACAGUGGUUUAGUACCCGGGAUUUUGAUUCCCGUAACCCGGGUUCGAACCCCGGAGGAACCU
rnacentral:tRNA from 1 species